rnacentral:rRNA from 1 species
AGUAAUAUAUAGAUAACGUGCCUCUUAGUCUUGGAUAGCCAUUGGAAACGAUGAUUAAUACUAGAUACUCCUUCUCUAUCUAAUUAGAGUCGGGAAAGUUUUUUCGCUAAGAGAUCGGUCUAUAUCGCAUCAGUUAGUUGGUGGGGUAAUGGCCUACCAAGACAAUGACGCGUAGCGGGUUUGAGAGGAUGAUCCGCCACACUGGUACUGAGACACGGACCAG